AAACACGUCAAAUCUAACAAUAUAUGUAUAAAACAUGGUAAUUUCCUAUCUACGAAGGAAUUAAAAUUAUGUCUCUUAAAAUUUUAAAGUGAAGUUAUAUAUGUCAUAUCUCAUAAACAUGCGAGUAAUACACAUGCACAUGAUAAUGUACACAGGUGUCCACGAAACAUUUUUGUAACCAUAUAUACUAUUAAGGUGGUAUAUACAUAGACUAAGUCAAUAUUCCAACGUCAAUGCCAACCAUAGUCUCAGCCACCACAACCGCCUCCACACCCUCCGCCACCACAUCCACCUCCACCGUCCCCACCUCCACCGUCCCCAUGUCCACCGUCCCCAUGUCCUCCGUCCCCAUGUACACCGUGCCCAUGUCCUCCGUCACCACCACCACUGUCACGUCCACCACUGCCCCUUCCAUGAUGACCAUGAUCUCCAGUUGAAGUGGUGUGGGCAGGAGUUGUUGAUAUAGCCGUAGUCAUGUAAACCAUGUUACCAUCUUUGACACCAUCACCUCUGAAUUUGGCGGCACUAGCUUUAGAAGUAUGGAUGGCUUGAAAUCCUCCACUCUUUUUGUUUGUGUUAUCGAUUCUUUUCUUUCCAGCCGUGAGCACAAAUUUCCCAUAUCUC
rnacentral:lncRNA from 1 species